CACGUAUUUAGCCGGAGCUUCUUAGUCAGGUACCGUCAUUUUCUUCCCUGCUGAUAGAGCUUUACAUACCGAAAUACUUCUUCACUCACGCGGCGUUGCUGCAUCAGGGUUCCCCCCCAUUGUGCAAUAUUCCCCACUGCUGCCUCCCGUAGGAGUUUGGGCCGUGUCUCAGUCCCAAUGUGGCCGUCCACUCUCUCAAGCCGGCUACUGAUCGUUGUCUUGGUAGCCGUUACCCUGCCAACUAACUAAUCAGACGCGGGCCCAUCCUGUACCACCGGAGUUUUUCCUGCUGUACCAUGCGGCACUGUAGGCUUAUGCGGUAUUAGCAGCCGUUUCCAGCUGUUGUCCCCCUGUACAGGGCAGGUUACCCACGCGUUACCUCACCCGUCCGCCACUCAGUCCUGCGCAUCCUUCCCCUCCGGAGACGUUCCGCCGCGCAGUCUUCGUUCGACUUGCAUGUGUUAGGCACGCCGCAGCUCAUCCUG
rnacentral:rRNA from 1 species